AACGAACGCUGGCGGCAUGCCUAACACAUGCAAGUCGAACGAGACCUUCGGGUCUAGUGGCGCACGGGUGCGUAACGCGUGGGAACCUGCCCUUAGGUUCGGAAUAACUCCCCGAAAGGUGUGCUAAUACCGGAUAAUGUCUUCGGACCAAAGAUUUAUCGCCUUUGGAUGGGCCCGCGUUGGAUUAGCUAGUUGGUAGGGUAAAGGCCCACCAAGGCGACGAUCCGUAGCUGGUCUGAGAGGAUGAUCAGCCACACUGGGACUGAGACACGGCCCAGACUCCUACGGGAGGCAGCAGUGGGGAAUAUUGCGCAAUGGGCGAAAGCCUGACCCAGCCAUGCCGCGUGAGUGAUGAAGGCCUUAGGAUUGUAAAGCUCUUUUACCCGGGACGAUAAUGACAGUACCGGGAGAAUAAGCCCCGGCUAACUCCGUG
rnacentral:rRNA from 1 species